rnacentral:rRNA from 1 species
UGGCGAACGGGUGAGUAACGCGUGAGGAACCUGCCUCAAAGAGGGGGACGAACAGUUGGAAACGACUGCUAAUACCGCAUAAGCCCACGGGUCGGCAUCGACCAGAGGGAAAAGGAGCAAUCCGCUUUGAGAUGGCCUCGCGUCCGAUUAGCUAGUUGGUGAGGUAAUGGCCCACCAAGGCGACGAUCGGUAGCCGGACUGAGAGGUUGAACGGCCACAUUGGGACUGAGACACGGCCCAGACUCCUACGGGAGGCAGCAUG